CAGGCACCAGGCCCAGCUGGAGCAGCUGGAAAAGCUGGGCCCACUCUGGAUAAAAGAGCUUUUCAUCACAGCCUUCUUCAUAGCCUGGCGACCUCAGGAUCCUGGAGAGUGGAAAACAGGAACUGUAAGAUCUCUUAAGGGCUUGCCUUCAAGGUCACACCACAUCACGUCUGCUGCACCUUCCAGAACAAAGCAAAUAAGAUCAGUCCGGAUGCACAACAUGGGAAAACAGACUCUCCCUCUUGACGGGGACAGAGCAAAAAUCUCAUGGCCAAAUUGGCUCCCCCACGUUCCAAUACAGCCGCACAGAUCAUGUGCAGUGAGAGAAAGCAGGAAGUGAUUGCGGCCCAACUACGCACAGGGGGAGGACUGUGAGCAGAGACACGGUGAGGAAGGACC
rnacentral:lncRNA from 1 species